UCAAAAAUCCCUAAUCUCUUCCCCCUCUCCUCCCUCCCCCUCCUUUUCUCCAUUCACGCUCGGGUUUCCCCCAUUCCAAACCCAAAAUCCCUAAUCUCUUGAACCAAAAUCCCCAAUCUCAAAAAUCCCUUAUCUCUUCUUACGUCUCUCCCUCUCUCUCUCCGGUGAGCGGAAGACCCUUCGAAGUUCCUCAUUUCGAAGUCUCUCCUUGCUGGGUUGUUCGAACGAGCUGGAAAUGCGGAGAUGGUUGAGAUAAUGUUAUUUGGACGUCAGUGGAAGAAUCUUUGAGGGCAUGGCCAUGCAAGCUCAUCAGAGGGGAGGUGCAUCUGGCAGUUUCAUUUUUCCAGAUGCUUGUUUUCUUCCUAGUAAAGGAGAGAGCUAGAGGCGGCUCACGAUAGGGAGAAGGAACUACUUCAGGAAAUAACUGAUUUGCAAUGGAGGCUAAUAUGUGCCCAAGAGGAGCUUCAGAAAUAUAAAACUGACAAUGCUCAUCUUGAUUUCUUACCCUAUUCUUGUUUCAUAUAAAUUAUGGCAUAUUUGUUUUGUUUUUUGUUUUUGGUUUUAAUUUUUGUUGAACAGAUUAUAGACUACUAUUAUAUCUCUGUUUCAGGUAUGAUCUUAUUCCCCAAUUAGCAUUGAAGAAAAAUAUAGUCGAUUCCAUUACACUGACUAAAAUGGAAAAAAUAAAAGAAAAGAAAACAAUAAGGUGAUUUCAAUGACCAACAGACUUUAUUAAACAUUUAGCGGUUAUGUAUGUUGUGUAGGAAUGUUUCAAGCUUGCUGCAUAGCUCCAUACGGGCAAACCCUUGGUAAAAUUAUUAUUGUACAUGAUUUUAUUAUUAUCUUCUCACUUUGCUUGUACUAUAUUAUUAUCAUUGGACCUUUUGUAUUUAGCGUUCUGUCAAGUAUAUAGCAAGGAC